rnacentral:lncRNA from 1 species
UGAUAAAAGAGAUUGCCGAUUGGUUGAUUUGAUAAUUAAGAUAAGAGAAUUAUGAAGUUGUUGAAAAAAAAAAUAACACAAACUUUGACAGAAAAUCAUACAGCAUUUAAAUUUGGCUCUUUGUUUAUUUUGUUUCCGCAAAAGGUACAUGACUCGAGUAACUUUACACAUAACAAAAGGCAUCUAAGCCUUCAUUUUCUUAUUCAUAAUUUGCAUGAUUAUUCCUUUAUUCAUAUUGAUUUGGUACCAAAUCUAAGCUGCUGCUUUGUUGUCUGAGUCACUGCGGGGUGGAACAAGAAAUGAAAAGGGGCUGUUGAACUUGAGCUGCCUGGCCUCAUUUCUUUCCAUAUUGAAAGCAGCUGCAACAACUUCUUCUGGCAUACCAUUUAUCAAGGAAGAUGCUCCUAAAAGCCUGCCAAUAGCUGCUCUGUCAUUGGUCUUGAAUGCUACAUAUGAGAACCUGUCACUCAAUGAUUUUGCAGCUAUUGCAAAGUUUUGUGGCACUAUCAACGCCCGGCCAGCUUCUAGUUCCCCAUCAAACACACUGUUGCCUUUGCAGUUCACAAUUUGUAAUCUUGCACGUCCCUUCAAUGCAUAAAGUAUGCUGUUUGCAUUGAGGUUGUAGUGAGGCACAAACAUAGCAUUCUGUUACAUAUAAAUAGACAAACAAGUGAGUUACUUAUAUUCUAACACUUCCAAAUUCCAUUAAUGUUGAUAUGAAAAGAUUGUUUGAUAUAAAAUUAAGUCAUGAAAGACAUUAGGUUUCAUGGUUUGGUCUAGUGGUAAAAAGACCUACAUGUUGUAGGUUCAAUCUCUGCUAGUGUCAUUGGAAGUUGGCAAAUGUAAAUGCAUCAUCUUUUUUUAUAAAAAAGAGAAAUGACAUACUUUGUGGAGAGAUCCAAACUCAGCACUGAGUUUGAGAAACCUGAGAGCUGGAAGGUCGAAGCUGGUAACAGUUUUGAUUCUACCAGCUUGAGGGUUGUAGAUGUCAGGUGAUGAAGAUGAGCCAAUGUUCUGGUGAAGUCUUGCAGUGCAAAUGGUUUCCUCAAACCCAUUGUCUCUUUGGCUUUUGCUUCCACCUCUGCUGUGGCGGCGUGGCUGUCUCUUUUCAUCUUCGUCUUCAUCUUGUCUGCUGUGGCGGUGUGGCUGUCUCUUUUCAUCUUCAUCUUCAUCUUCCUCUUGUCUGCUGCCUCUCUUUUGACGUGGCUCCUUCUCUGGUGGAGUGAUGAUGCUAAGACCUCCUUUCACUUUGACAAUGGCUCCCUUCUCCUCAUCUUCGUUCCUACCUUGAAGUUUGUUCACUAUACGCCUGUUCACGUUCAAGGCAUCUUCCAAGAAAUCCCUCUUGAAGCCACUGAAAAUGUUGCCACCUUCAUUUUCCUCUUCUUCACUUCCUUCCUGCUGNNNNNNNNNNNNNNNNNNNNNNNNNNNNNNNNNNNNNNNNNNNNNNNNNNNNNNNNNNNNNNNNNNNNNNNNNNNNNNNNNNNNNNNNNNNNNNNNNNNNNNNNNNNNNNNNNNNNNNNNNNNNNNNNNNNNNNNNNNNNNNNNNNNNNNNNNNNNNNNNNNNNNNNNNNNNNNNNNNNNNNNNNNNNNNNNNNNNNNNNNNNNNNNNNNNNNNNNNNNNNNNNNNNNNNNNNNNNNNNNNNNNNNNNNNNNNNNNNNNNNNNNNNNNNNNNNNNNNNNNNNNNNNNNNNNNNNNNNNNNNNNCUCGUGGUUUCCAGCAAGAUAGAAUCUCUGUCAAUCAAAAUCAAACAGUUAUUAAUUCCAAUUUCUUUCACGUGAAUUAAGUUUAAUUAUAUUAUGCUCACCCUAGGCAUCUGAUCAAGCUGGUUUUGGAAGCUGCUGGUGUCAAUAAGAGAAACAGCAAUAACUGGAGUGUCUUGAUCAUUGAACAUCCAAAAUACAACACCAGUAGGAACUGCAAUGAUAUCACCCUCUCUGAAGCGGUUAACCUUUUGGUGACUGUCUCUAAACUUGCUUCCCUCUCCUUGUUCAGAUUCACGUGGCUCCUCAAAAGUCUCAACACAACCAGGGAAUACCAUGCCAAAAUAUCCAUUACCUGUAAUUGUUAUAGCAAAAUAUUAGCCACUACUAUAUAACAUCACUAAUAUGUAUGUAAAAAAAAUGUAAUAAGAUCAAAAUAAGGAACCUUGUUGGAUGAAAAUUUCCUGGGGAGCGUUGGUGUAGAAAGGUCUGCGGAGGGAAUUUGGUUGAAGGGUAGCACGAGAGAGGGCCACACCGGCACAUCGGAAUUGCUUGUUGCUUGGGUUCCAAGUCUCAAUAAGUCCACCUUCUGACUUUAUACGGUUAUCAGGUUCAAGGGCAUUGAGGUGUUCAAGCUGACACUCAUUUUGUUCAGGUUGAUCUCUCAAAGCAAAACAGCUACCAAAAAGUAGAAAACAAAAUGAAAGAGAGAGUGCAAGAAGCUUAGCCAUGAUGACAGAUAUUGAAAAGAAUGUUGGUUUGUGAUGCGGAGAACCUUAAUGAGAAGUGGUUAUUUAUAGGGAAAAUAGGUUGGCGAAGGAUGGACACGUCAAAGAAGGUGUGGAGCUGAGCAUUAGACAUUCUUCAGCUUGCAUGGGUAUGGAAGCCUUGUGCAUUACACCUAUGUCUGAUAGAGCAAGGUGGCUUUCAACAUAUCCAUAAUCCAACAAAAAGCAUGCUUGUUUGUAUUGCAAUUCUUGCCUAGGCAUUAUUAUUAGUUUAAAUCGGUGGGGGAGGGGGGACCAUGGCUCCAUUUUGUUUUCUUCCCUGCUUCUCUCUUUCAUAUCUGCAAAGAUUUACGAAGAACAUUAAUCCUUAAAAUAUAUGUGUAAUUACAUAGUGCUUGAUAAACAUUUUACUUUUUACAUUUAAAAUGAGUUUACUCUAAAUAAGUCAAAAUCUAAUGUAAUAAUAACCACUUUUUGAAAUAUCAAUUUCAAUUUUUUAAAAUUUGUUCCAUAUAUUGAUAAACUUUUCAGAUUUUUUCGGGUCGUAAGUUUUUAAUACAUGUGCUUGACUCACUACAAAGAAUUGGUCCGUGACCCAUAUUAACUUAGUUCUUCGAAUAUGAUUUGGGUGAUGCCAUGUUUUCUCUUCUCCCACGUAUAAAAGAUCUACCCAAUUCAACUGCUACACCCCAAUUCUUCUCAUCAAUGAUAAACUUAAAUCAGUGAACUAGUGAGCAAUGGAUUACAAGGGUAGAAAUCAAUGAAUAAAGGACUCUGCAUCAAUAUUCAUUUGGCACAUAUAUAGAAUUCCCAGCCAUUUAACUAGCUUUUAAAAAUGCAAGGCAACUAUGUCACGUCAAACACAAUCAACGUUGAUUUUUAAAUUAUCCUGAGUCAGAUAAUAGGCCUAUUUAUAGAUAUUCAUGGACCUGAAAUUCUUUCUCUGCUACUUAAAUAAAUAAUAAUCAAAGGUAGAAGCAAUGUAUUGAGAAUAAAAAAUGCAUAAAAUGUAAGGGUGUAAUCUGCCUUUCCUUCAAAUGAUUCUACAGAAAUUAUUUCGGUGGCCGUUCAAUCAUUGUAAAAACCAAAGAGGGAAGAGUUGGCGGGAAAAACUGUAAACACUGUACGUUUACCGUUUUUAUCGUGGAUUUGAAUUUUUUUCUAAUUAGAUGAAUACUUUUUUAUCUUAACUAUUUACUUUUUACCAUGAUAAUCUAAAGUUCAUUCGAUACAUAGAGCUUGGCAUCAAAUCAAAUAGUACCCAAACAAUUCAUCAAUCUUAACACAAAUACAUUAACCAUUGGCACAAAUUACGUCCACUUGGUUAAUAGUAGAUGAACAUGACAAAAACAAAAGAUGAGUGACAGAAGGGCAAUUUGCGGAACUCGUCAAUUUUUUAAUAAACAUAGCCCUGUAAAUUUUUUUAUAACGAAAGACAAUACAAGACAAACCAGCUUCUACACACGAUCUGCCAUAAACAAGUUCCCAAAGAAAAGGGAAGAAUCCCAGUCCCUUUGCGUCCAUUAUGAAGCAUAGAUCAUGUUAUUUAGGCUAAUGCUUGUGACGAGGCGUAUCAAACAUUAGCAAAUUGAUGCGCACAGAACAUGGUAGGUUUAACCAAUCAGGGAAUAUAAAAUAAUAGAGUACUCCAUCACUAAACAGGCCUUAUUAAUCUGAAGACGAACAAAGUGAGAGCUUUUACAAGAAAAAAUCACAUUAACAUUAUGAUGAACUACCAUGAUCUCACAAGGAUUAAAUGUCACAAUCCUCGGGAUAUAAUCACCCUUGUAGAAGGAACUAUAGGUUAUAAUUUAUAAAUAAUACAUGCCUACACGAUAUGGACAAUAACAAAUUACAAUGCUAGAAGAAACAAUGAAACAUGCAACCUUCAAUUUUCUUAUUCGGUAGUAUUACUCUUCAAGCUAGAUUCCCCGUUCUUCUCUUCAGUGCUAUCCACUAUUUUGGUUUCAACAUGACCAUCCCCCUUGGUUGCAUUGCCAUCCACUUCAAGAGUGUUUGACUUUUUCGGCAGUUUUCGAUCAAGACUCUGAGCAGCUUCCAACUCUUCAGAUUCAUCACCUUCACAUCUUUCAUUGGGGUUUUGAACAGCUUCGGCAUCAUGCUUGGCAGUGUCAGCAUUUUGUGUUAGUUGUGCCCCUGAACUUUGAGAAGCUUCCAACUCUUCAUACUUAGAAACCAACUGCUGCAGCUCGUCAUUGAGAUAUAAAGCCUCAAAAAGUGUUUCUUCAUCAUUUGUGGUGCUUUCCACAAUCUCCUUAAUAACAGAGAGUGAUUGCUUGCACUUAUCCAGCAGACUCAAAGUUAUAUCUUCCUGGAACCAAACAAAAUCAUUGUACAUUCUAUCAGCAAAAAAAUUAUUCCUAUUUCUUAGCUGUAUACUGAUGUAGCAAUAACCUAGAUGAGCUGGGAAGAUAAGAGAUAAAAAAAAAAUCCAUCUACAUUGUAUCUGCAUAAGAAUACUAUAGUAUUUUGCAUAGAAAAGCAUGUAACUGAUUUAUGAUAGUUCUUUAAAAAUCUGUGCAAGAACUACUUCAUACAUACAGCAAACAUCAUGAUGCAGUAAACAAAACAACAAUCUAUUGUUCAGGUGAUGCUGUAUUUCUUUAAUUUAAAAAAGUUUACCUUCAAAGGUUUUGGCUCUGCCUCAGAACUUAAUAUGCUAGAGAGCAAUUCAAGACUGUUUCGAGCAACCACAAGAUGCUCUUUCUUCUCUUCCACUGAUACAGGUUGGUGAUCAGUAAAGAAAGCUGCUGAGUCAUCCAGAGCAAGAGCAUGUAGCCCUGCUUCUGGAAUUGGGUAUCUUUCAGGGGGGUCUAAAGGGUGUUGAUAAUUAUGUGACUCUGAGGCAUAUGGAAUAGGUGGUGAGUUUCCUCCCGUCAUGUCAAGUGAUUCACCCCUUCCUUUCAAACUCUGUCAUCAAUGAGAAGAAUAUAGGACUUAAAUUAAAUGAGGAAGAAAAGGAAGCACAAGAAUACGUCAUAGUAAAAAUAAAAAAUAGACGGCACCACAUUCGAAAGAGUAGACAAUAAGUAAGAUCGUGAAGCACAAUGUAGGAAUUCGCUUCAAGGCCAACAUUUUGUAAAAAAUAACCCAAGGUCACCUGGGAAAUGCUAUUUUCACAAAGUAUAAUUCUGCAAACAAAGUCUAGAAGCUACACAUAUAACAAUAAAAUCAAGUACGAAAAACAAUAAGGUUACCAUUCAAAGAUAAUUUGAGGCCAAUGAUAUUUGCUUCCCUUAAACUAUUAAUACCCUUCAAUGAAAUUUUGCUUAAACAAAUUUCAAUCAAGUUUUUUGGGACCUGUCAUUUGAAUUAUUUGGGAAAGAAAAUAGAUGGUAUAGAGUUGUAAAGAUAAGUUUUGCAUUUGAAAUAAGAUAAAGUAAAAUGGAGUGAAUAGAAUGCAAAUUCAUCUAGAUAAAUCCUAAGACAAGCUUGGAGGCCAAAAUUGGAAAUCUUACCAAGCCAAAAAUUCAGUGUGGUGGGUACCUUGAGUCCAUCAUAAAAAUAUCGAAGAAAUAGGAUAAAUAUAAAUCGUAAUACUCAACCUAGGCAGAUAAAAUGAAAAUGCUUCAACAGCCUUCGUGUUCGACAUUGCCUUUUAAGAUUAAUUAAUGAAAACUUACCGCACGGUCAUAAAACCAACAAUGAAAACAUGUUAAGUGUUAUGAUAUGAAAAAUAAAACAACAAAUUAGUGGUUAUACAAGACAAGACGGGAUUAGGAAUAAAAGCACUAGAGAGAAAGUUGUGACAGCCACCGUCUACUGUAAAAAAGACAGUUGGUCUUAUUGUGGUUUGGACAUGUGUUGAGCAGACAUUGGAAAAUAUCCCACUAAUUAGAGGUAGAAAGAAACGAAGCAAAACAAUAAGCUACAAUCAAGAAAAAAUGGAACUAUACGAUCAAUAAUUCUAUAUCACAGAGCAUGAUUCAUGACAGGACAAGACUUAAUGACAUCAUUUAAUCCAUGUAACCGAUCCCACCUAAUGGGAAAAGGUUUUGAUUGUAAUUGUUAGUGUUGUUUUUGUCACAAAGCAAACAAUGCCUUCUGGUACUGAUCGUCAAACAGUAAUGCCGCAAUGAAUACAUACAAGAAAAAUUAGUACAAUUGUGUAUAUGAUGAUUUUCCAUAUCAGAAAUUCAGAAUAAGACCGAUAGAAAUGCCAGUAGAGAACUUUAUUAGACCAAGGAUAGUCUAAUAAUCAGAUAUAUAAAGGAAAACAAAAAAAAAUCUAAAUGAAACCAUUGAAAAGUACUUAGAUCUAUAUAGCUACUUUUAAGUAAUAUGUACUAGGUGUGUGGCAAACCACAAUGGAAAUGCAAUUAUUUAAAUAAAUAAGUUUGCCUACAAUAGACCCACAAUGCCUGGGUCCAAUCCUUACCUCUUUAAAUAGAACAUCCUCUCAUUAUAAUUCUAACUGAUAACUAACCUACUAAAGGAAACUCUAUGUUUUCCCCCUUAGUGUGACCACAAUACACAUACUCUGAUACAGCUCUGUUAUUGACCAGCAUACAUAUAAUACAGACACAACCCUAACACCAAUAAUAAUUUCAGAAAAUAGAAUUGAUUGAAUGAAAUUUUAUGCGUCAGUCAGAGUUGUGUCCAUGUGUUAGUGUGUCGGUCUUCAGACAUUGAACACACCUUAUGAACUUUUUUAUUUAUAGGCAAAUGUUAUUAAAUUAGUGGUUAUCUAUGAAGCACAUAUAAUGACACUACACUAAUCAGUCGAGAAAAUAAAUAAUUAAUUGAAUGUAAUCAAUAUGUGAGUGUCAUAUUGUGUUAGACACGAAGACUCGAGUGUGGGUGGUUAUGUUAGUUCCCGAGACCUCUUUUUUAAUUACCUGAAGUGUUGGUGAUACAUAGCUAACGUAUUGUAAGACUGAAUUGACCCAUGUUCCAACAAAAUAGUGAUAGAAAAAAACAAAGCAAGAAGAAGAAAAGAAAGAAACUAACCGUAUAAGUUUGAGCGAAAACAGGAAGAUAAGCAAGAUCUUCAGACUGACCCCAUGCCCUAAUAAGCUGAAAAGCCCUUGUUCUAUUUUGCUGAUCAGCCUGUUGAUUAUCAAACAACCUAACCAUAUCAUCUAAAAGCUUCUCAGAAGCAAUUUCAGAAAAAACCUUUUCACAAUUCAUAGCACAAGUUUCCAACAACUCAAGGCUAUGCUUCUGAACAACAGGGUUCUUGUGAUUAAUCCUCCUCUUUAUACCCUUCACAACUUCCGAACCGUUAAACUCUUCCGCGUUUAUUAGACCGCAUAUUCUCAGAUUCAUUCCCCAAUUUGGUUCUUCCAACGUCUCUGAUGUUGCUUCCUCGACCAUCUUUGAUUCCGGCGUCGGAGUUUGGAGUAUUUCCUUCAUUUUGCCGCUUACGAUUCGACCCAUCUGGGCCCCACCGGUUUUGAGCCUCUCGCCGAAUUGAGCUAGCUUAGACUUGUCCAUGAGAGUGAGAUGGUUGUUGUGGAGUGAGAAAGUGAGGAACCCUAGAUCGGAUUCUGUUCGUUACUGAUGUGGAGUAUGAAAAUGGGAAAGUGGAGAGUUGAAGUUUCAGAGAGAAACAAAUGUUUGAUUUUAUUUAGAUUAUUGAUUUAUGUUCUUUUACGUGGCUUUCUUUGGAGAGCUUUAAAAUCAUUAAUUAAUUGAUCCCCCACUCACUAAAGUCUUCUCAACCACGUCUCCAUCUCUCUCGUAGACUCUAUUAAUAUUUUAAACUAUUUUUCAAUUAAGUCUUUUUGUAAUUUUACAAUGUUCAUUGAUAUUAAUUGGGCUGACGUGGAAAAUUAAAUGUUAUUUAUUAUCAAAUUGAUCUCUAUAGUUAGAACUAAUACUAUCUAUCUCUUUUCUUUAAAGGAACAUGUAAAUAACUUUAAUUAUUUUGAUUGUGUGGAUGGAGUGUUUUCUCUUAAAGCUCAAUUACGUGCACAAUGCAUAUGUUGUGAGUGCAUCGGAAACAACCGGAAAAAAGAAAAGAAAAUGACAUAGAUUUUAUAGGGUUUGUAUUUUUACUUAAAAUGCUAACAUUUUGAAGGGUUUGUACUUGUACUUAAAAUGCUAAGAUUUAUGUCACGGGUUAAAUUUGAGACCAAUUUUUUGUGUUUUAACCUUUUUUUUUCAUGGGAUAAUUAAUCAUUAAUCACAAUUUUUUAAUGAAAACUAAAUUUUUAGCGUGUCCCUAAUGUGGACCCUAAAAAAAUGUCCACCAGUGGACCUGUGGCUUUCAACCGGGUACAGCCGGUAAGUAAUAUUUUUUUCACAUUUUGUUUUUCCAAAUUUUUGGACACUGCUUGUAAACGAUGGAGCCACAACUAUGGCAUAGUUGUUGAUAUAAGACGUGUCGCAUGCCCUUUAUACAUAUAGUCUCUCUUUUUAUCUCGUUGGAAUUUAUCAGAUAAUACUUUCUGGGACAUUUAAGCAGGAAAUGGGAUAAUUAAAAGAGAAGGCUUUGUACCCAAAAAAGACAGCUAUAUUUUUUUAUACUUUAUCAUUGUUCCAACAAAUGUCAUAUGUGUGAUGAGAAAGAGCUUGAGAAGUAGAGUGUCUUGUGUGAUGCUGAUUCCAUCGAGAAAAUCAACAGUAUGUUGUGUGGUGUACGUGAAUGGUUUCGGGACAUGGGGGAAUAAGGAAAAAAGAAAUCAACUAGGUCGAUAACAUAUGUUGCGUAUAACUUCUAUAUGACGAAAAGGUGGUGAAGAGCGAAAUUGUUAUGAGUUUUGUGUGUCGUUCGUCGGGUUCUGUUUAAGUUGUAUGAAAGGGGACGGCUCUAUCAUUUACAUUUUACAUACAAUGUGAACAAAAUUGGAAGAAAAGUUGUUUACCGAUUGUACCCGGUUAAAAGCAAAGGUCCACACUUUAAAGGCACCCAAAUUUUCAAUUUAGUCUUUAAAAUAUCAUUUCUUUUAUUUAUUUUAUAAAUUAUUAUGAAUUCAAAAUAUUUUGUACUUUAUUUCUUUUGAAAUUAUUUAAGCCUUUGAUAUCAGUUCAUUCUAGACAAGAUUUUGCCUUUUAUUAAAUACAAAUAUUUCACCAUCUCUUCACUCUAAAUUUUAUAAAAAAAAUAUGAAGACUCUAAUUCAUAAGAAAUUCUUUUUUUUUUUCCGUCUAAUCAAUAAUUGUAAUGCUACCAUAACUCUUAUCUUAAGACACUUAUUCUCUUCAAUCUUUAAUAUAAAAGCAAAAAUGAAGUAAAAAAAAAUCAAUAUAUUUAAUUUAAAAUUUAAACUAAAGAUAUCCAUUUUAUUUCACCAUAUUUUUACUUAUAUUUAAAAUAAGAUAGAGUAGGUCAAAAACUCCACUAUUUCAUGUCAUAAAUAUCCUUUGGAGGAGGCUAUAAAGAUGCCUUUGAGCAGUCCCACAACUUAUCCAUAGAAAAUGAGCAAUCACCCAAAUGCAUGGACAAACUGGCUACCAAGAACCAUUUUCAUUCUCAAACAAAUCCAUCCCUUUUUUAAUCAAAAAGAAAUUAUAUUAAUUAAAAUAAAAGUUGAGAAUAAUAGCUUCUAUCAUCGUAUAUAAAAAAAAAUAAAUUUAAUAAGGAAAAAUAUAGAUACACUUUGAACUAAAAAAAGACCAUGGUGAUUAAGUUGAGCUAAUAAAUGAGCAUGUCUAUUUGUUUCUUUUAAAGAAUAAUUAAGAGGGAAUAAGUUCAAUUAUAAUAAACAAAUGAAUAAAUUGAACAUAACAUUUGUGGAUCAUAAAAACGAGGGUCAGUAAGCCAAUUUUAAAAAUAAUAUUAUAAAUAGAUUUAUCAUGAACCACAGAAUGUCAUGUAGUGAUGACCAGGACUGACUAUUAUGGUCGCGAAUGAUCCUUCACAAAUCGAGGAGUUAUCAAUAUGAAUAUAAGCACCACUAAUGUUCAUCUUUAUAACUUUCCAUGAGGUUUAACUCAUAUUUUUUAUUAUGGUUAAUCAUGUUCUCUUUAAGUUUUAGAAAGAUAACUAUUCCUCUUAGAAACUUUAUCAAUGUUUAAUUUAUAAAUAAAUAUAUUUUUUAGGUUUUAGAAAGAUAACUAUUCCUCUUAGAAACUCUGUCAAUGUUUAAUUUAUAAAUAAAUAUAUUUUUUAAUUCAUAUAAAAUUAUGGUAUAUCAAGUUUAGUCUUUAAAAAAUAUUAAUUUAUUUUUAGUCUAUAUUUUAAUUUUAUAGAGACUAUUUUAAAGUAUAAAAAAUAUAAAUUCUUUUAAAAAAAAUCAAAAUUGAAAUUAAAAAUAAAUGAAAAUUUUAAAAUUUAGACUUAAAAAUAGUAAAUUUAUAAUUAUUAAAAAUAUAUUUAAUCCUUAAUUUAAGUUAGAUAUGGAGGCAUCCAACUAACCGCAAUUCAAGAGAAUAACUUGGUACAUUGAAAUAAGAACUAUUUAUGGUGUUACUAUAAUUCAAAAUUUAAAUAAAAUAGAAAAUUAUAAUCUAGCAACAAAAUUGAACGUUUACUCGUCAAUCAAUUAAUAUGAUAAUUAUUUGUUUUUUUACAUUUUUUUUCCACACAAAUUUUCAGUCUCAAUAUUUGUUUUUUUUUCUGUGAUUAUUAAAAAUUUAAAAUACUUUUGCAUUUAAAAUAAUCAUAAAGAUUUGUUUAAUAAAUUAUUUAUACAAUUAUAUAAACACAAUUCUAAAGUUAACUGGUAGUAUUAAUUUUGGUCAGAUAUUUUUUACAAAUUUACUCAUAACAAUUCAAUUUUUUCAAAUAUACAUUAAAAAAAAUUAUAAAAAAUAUACAUUUGAACUUAACUCAACAUCCUAAAUUUGCCAUGAAAUUUAAAUUUUUCUGGAAAAACACUCUUUUAAGUUUUAUGAAUUUUUUUAUAAGACUUAAUAAACGUUUGUAAGAAAAAUGUUGUUUAAGAGACUAAAUGAAAAUUCCGUUUUUUCUAAUAUAUAUAUAUAUAAUAACAAAAUGAUGUAACAAAAACGUUGUUAUUAUUAACUUUUAGUGUAGCGACAUAAAAAGGUAGAUAGACGAUAAAUUAAUGUCCGUCAUUUUUUAUAACAAAUAAUUAAAUAUCUUAAUAAAUGUGUAAUUAUUUUUUGUUUAUUCUUUAUCACAGAAAAUGUAGUAUGUUAUCCAUGAUAAUUAUAUAUGAUUACAUAUGAUAUAAUUAUCAUCAGGACUAUGAGUUUGUACCUAAAAUAUUGUUAGUACAUGAACCAAAAUACUGUUUUUUGUUAAAAUAAAAUAAAAAGUAUUUAACUCAAUUUUAUCAAAAUAUUAAAGAGCAAAAAUAUAUUUCAUAAAAAAAAAAGAGAGCAAAAAUAUACAUAGAGGUUUGGUUCAUGUACUAAUUUUUCUUAAUUUGAUUAAAAUUUCUGUUUAGUUGUUGGACCCUCUUCCUCAUGUUUUCCAUGUGUCUUUGUUGGGAAGGAAAAAACACAACCAUGAAUGAAAGGGAAGGCUUUCAGUAGUUACCAUUCGAAUUCAGAAAAUAAUUAAUUUGUUUUUGGAAACUUCCAUUCUCAUGGUUUGGAAUUGAUCUCGAUACGUUUCACCUGCGUUAAUUGCAACAUUCAAGUUUCAAAACCAUGCAUGUAGGUAUGCAUACGCAAUUAUUCGAAGUUUUUAUUUUUGUUCACAAAAUGCGUAUCAUAUUUUCGUGGAUUUCGUAUGUGUCUUUUUUAUUCAUUGGGCGUUUUUUGGUUUUUGUGUGAAUUAUUGUGGGUGCUAUGCAUUUCAGAUCAUUUUGAAAAUUUUGUGCAAUUUAUUAUAUUGUUGGAACUCUUUUUUUGUUGUUAUUUCUUGGCUUCGUCAUACAAUUACGUAGUUUAUUCAUCCUCGUGAUGGAAAAAUAUGGAGACAUUGUUGAAAAAUGUGGUAAUUUGAAGUAUUUAUUAAUUUGUAUGGUUGUGGAAAACGAAAAGUUAUAUGUAAAAAUUGAAAGUUGAAUUAGGAUAAUUUGAGUUGAAAUUUGACAUUGUUCUGUUCGUAAUUCUCAUGAUUGUUUUACAAGAAACUUUGAAAACCAUCGUUUUAGUUGGUAACAUGCUAAUUUAUUUUGUUAUUUCCUUUAGCACAACAUUCAAAUGCUUAUGUAUAACAAUCUAUAGUUAUUUUUUUUACCGAGUAUUACAAUCUAUAGUUUUUUAUACAUGUUUUUGCUUGAACAAUUGAACACAGCCAUGGUGCUAAUGUACCAUAUUUCUCAAUAAUCAAGUUUGCUUUAACCACUAAUUGUUAUUUUUGACACAAACACCUCUGAGAUUAGGCUUGUCGUCAUGUCUGACACAUAUCGGUGUCCAACAUUCGUAUGACACUUUUACGACACCUCAAAUAAGUGUCCCAAAAUAAAAUUUGUUUUUCUUUGCUUCAACACACCUUAAACUUCUUGGACACAUCUAUGAAGGUGAAAAAGGUUAAAGAUGUGUCAAAGUAAUGAUAAUUAAUGAUAGGGUUAAAAACAUGAAAUUUAACUACAACAUGUUUAGUUUUUCGAUAGUAGAUGUAUCAAUGAAGGUGAAAAAUUAUCAUAUGUGUAUUAGUUUAGAUGUCCUAUGAUCUUUAUAUUAGCAAAGUCUGUGUCCGUGUCGUGUCAAAUGUUCGUGUCGGAAUUUGUGCUUCAUAGCAAAGAUCCUCUUUCCCCUACAAGGCUACAACUAUAUUCUAUUUAAAAAUAAAACUUGUAUGUAGUUAAGACAUACCAAUUCGAAUCCUUGAACAUGUCAAGCCAUGCAUAUCAACUCCUUACAAUGGUUAUCUACACUUGCCAAAGGGGUUCAUUAAAUUUACACAACUCUACUUUGUUUGGUAAGUUUAGGGAAUCAAGUUCCUUAGUUUGGCUAAGCUGUCACAUGUUAUGUGCAUUUUAUCCAAAAAUAAACACGAGACUAUCUUAUACAUCAGCUUAAUUAUAUAGUAAACAUUACAAAAUAAUUUUUUUUUAAUUUCUAUGUUGCUUUUAUAAUAUUAGUUUGUUGUAUGAUCUUACCAGAACAGAUCAAAUGGAUAUAACUUCAGCAAAAUGUGUGGUCAACACCAUUUCUCGAUUCAUUCAUCUAGUUUCUUGCCAAACAGUGAAACUUAUACCCCUUCAGAAGAACUAUAAUAAUAUGGUUGGUGUCUUAAAGUGUUUGAAACCAGUGCUUGAUGAUGUUGUGGAUUACAAAAUCCCUUUAGACAAAAAUUUGUACAGAGAAUGUGAAGAAUUGAAUAUGCAGGUUAAUGAAGCUAUGGAGUUCAUUGAAAAACGGAGCCCAAAGAUGAGUAGGAUCCACAAUGUAAGCAGUUAGUUAUUUCAUAAUUAAACCAAUAUCAUUAUUUUGCAACUAUUGUUUCAAAAAUGUUAGGACCAAUCGCCUCUUUGUCAGACAUUUGAACAAUGUUGAAAGGAGACAAUGAAUCACCGUUGCCUUUCUCAUAUGUCUGUUUUAUUUCGGAGAUAUUGAUUGCAGCCUAUUUAAUUGUUUUUGUUGGGAUUGUGUUAUUUUUAGGUUCUUCUAAGUGGAAAAAUGUUAAUAAAGUUACAAAGCACUUCACUUAUAAUUUGUCACAUAAUUAAUAGAUCUUCAAUGUCAACUUCCUCUUCCUCAGUUUUGGCUAAUCUUCAGGUAUGUCCAAAGUUUGAAACUACUUGUUUCUUGAUCAUUGUAGUUGUGAAACUAAUUAGUGGCAACUUUUUCAGCACCAUAUGCAAGAACUUCAGAGUUUUAAGAAGGAUUCAACAACACUCUAUAUAGAAGAAGCACUGAGAAAUCAAAAGGAUAAUAUUAAACCUUGCUAUGAACAUUUAAGGGAAAUUAUAGAGUUACUUAAAUUGACAUCAAGUCACGAGCUUCUAAAAGAAAGUAUUGAUGUUGAAAAGGAAAGGUUGAAUGUGAAUGCACAAGUCAACAAAACAAAAGAGGAGUUGGAUGAAGUUAACCAAAUUAUGAAUAUUGUGUGCAUUUUGCGCGAUUAUGCGACGAAAUCUAAAUGCCCUGAAGUCAAAAGUGGUGUCUCAAUACCAUCAUACUUUCUAUGCCCUUUAUCACUGGAAAUCAUGUUGGAUCCUGUUAUUGUGGCUUCAGGUCAAACAUAUGAGAGGGGGUCCAUUCAAAUGUGGCUUGAUAAUGAGCUGCUUAUUUGUCCCAAAACUCACCAGAAACUUACUCAUACAGAUCUAAUUCCCAAUUCUACUGUUAAAGCUAUGAUAACAAAUUGGUGUGAAGAAAAUAACUUCAAACUUCCCAGUAACUCAAAUCCUGGUAAUUCGACAAAAAUUUCAAACCCUUCCGAUAAUUUAUUGCAUCAAGAUUUAGACCGUGUCAAUAGCUUGGAAUAUUCUAGUAGCAAUUCCAAUUCAAAACCAUCCAUUCAAACUAUAAAUGCAUUUGAGAAUCAAAAGGGUGAAGACUCGUCCAGAUUAAGCGGCGAAUCAAACAGAUGCCAGAAUGGUGAGACAGAAAAGUUUAAGCAACAAUACCUUGGUCCUUCACAUAGUCACAGCAGAAGUACUGAAUCAUUUUCACGUUCUAUUUCUACUAAUGUUUUUCCUGCCUCUCCUGCAUAUAAAGAAUUAGUGAAUUUUCCAUCGUUAUCACGAGAUAAGUUUCAAACCUCUGGAUCAAAAAAUACAUCGACGGAGAAUGAAAUUAAGUGCAAUAACAAUAAUAAUAAUAUUGUUAUCACUAGCCAUUCAAAUGUCGAUGCUGAUCCUGUUUCUGAUAAAUUAACCACCACAUCUCAUGUCAAUAAGUUAAUUAAAGAUCUACAAAGUCAAUCAAAUGAAACACAAGCUAUCGCCGCAGAAGAAUUGCGCCUCCUUACCAAACAUAACAUGGACAACCGUAUCAUUGUAGCACAGUGUGGAGCUAUCAUGCAUUUACUUCCACUGCUAUAUUCAGAUAUGAAGAUAACACAAGAGCAUGCUGUGACAGCUUUACUGAAUCUAUCGAUUAACGAAGAUAACAGGACUUUGAUUAUGGAAGCAGAGGCUAUAGAAGGACUUAUCAAUGUUUUGAAGACAGGAAAUAAUGGCGCCAAAGAAAAUUCAGCGGCGGCUUUAUUCAGUCUGUCAGUACCAGAAAACAAUAAGGCGAAAAUCGGUUGUACGGGUGCAAUAAAAGCUUUGGUGGAACUUCUAGCUUCUGGAACUCUAAGAGGGAAGAAAGAUGCUGCAACUGCUUUAUUUAACCUUUCAAUAUGUCACGAGAAUAAAGCACGUAUAGUUGAAGCUGGAGCAGUGAAGUUUUUGGUUAUGUUAUUGGACCCUGCUGAUGGAAUGGUUGACAAGGCUGUUGCUCUUUUGGCAAACCUGUCAACAAUUCCAGAGGGUCGACUGGAAAUUGUACGUGAAAGAGGAGUCCCUUUACUUGUUGAACUUGUGGAAUCAGGUUCUCAGAGGGGAAAGGAAAAUGCUUCAUCCAUUCUCUUGCAACUAAGCCUUCAUAGCCGUAAAUUUUGUACUCUUAUUCUCCGUGAAGGAGCUGUUCCUCCUGUAGUUGCAUUAUCCCAAUUUGGUACACUCAGAGCAAAGGAAAAGGUAUCAAACUCAUUCUCUUUUUCUCUUAAACCAUGCACAAGCCUGCUUACUUUGUCUAUAAAAAAGACAAUGCUGCUUAUUUUAAGAGACUUUAUAUUUUUUUAUUGGUAGUAUGUAAUAAACAUUCAAUUGCUUCCUUAAUAGUCACUCAUAUUUUUUUUAUCUUCAAUGAGGUGACUAAUAGACUUCGGUAAAGCAAUUGAAUUUUUUAUGAUUAAAUUUUUGUCGGUUUGCAUAUACUGUCAUUUUGUUACAUUUGGAUCACUUGUUAUUCAUCUAUAGAUAAUACUCUCUUUAAAAUUAAAUAUAACCAAAAAUGAUAUUUGAAAAAAUGAUGUACGUGUUAAAAAUUUAAUCAAAUAUUCUUUUUGGUUAUAUUUUAUUUUAGAGUAACAUAUAGUUGUAUUUUAAUGAUGGACUAAUGGUAACUAACACUCAACUAUUUUAAUGAUGGACUAAUGGUAACUAACACAUUCAGUUUGUUGAAACUAGUUAAUCAAAUUUUACUUUCUAUGAUUAUGCAUUGCUAGUUUAACAAAAUCAUAAUAAACGCUUAAAGAAAUAUUUAUUUUCACAAUGGAGUUUUUCAAUAACACAAAAACUUAUGAGAUGGGGCAGAAACAUUGGUUGUCACGACAUAUAGUAUCUCAUGUACAAAGCAUAAUGUAAAAUGUGGAAGAAAUGCUAAUAUGUUGUUCACAUAUAUGCAGGCACAACAACUUCUUGUUCUUUUUCGUAAUCAGCGUGAUGGAGCACCAGGGAAGGGAAAAUCAUGAAGAUAAACAAUUUUGGUUACUUUGUUGCCUUUUUUCUUUUUCUUACUCCUAUUGAAGGUUGUAGGAGUUCAUUACAAUUUUUCUUUUUUCCUUCUCUUCUUGAAAACAAUUUAAAAAAAAACUGAUUUAUAAAAUAACCAUAUUAUCAGGUUUGAUACUAUGUCUCGAGUGGCAGUUGUGUUUGAGUUUUUUUAUUAUUUAAUAUACACGAAGAAAAAAACCAUUGGUGUUUAGGCGUCUUUAUUUGCAGUUCAAGUGAGUGGUGAAGGGAAAAGAGAAUUGAUUGUAUUCAAGUAAUUAAUUAGACAACAGUUUAGUAGUAGUUGUCGAGAGAGAACCCUGUUGAGGCAUGGAACACGAAUCAACUAGCUGUCUCUGAUCUGUAUAUCUGAUUUUAUUUAUGGAUUCAGAAAUAACAGGGCUAAGUCUUAGUUGUAGUUAAGUUCCUGACUCUUUAGUACCAUCACGUAAUUAACAUUGGGCCCACUCAAGCCCAUUAAUACUUUUUUUUGUCGUAAAACUAUAAAAGCCCCGUAUUAAUAGACACAAUACAAACAAACAGCCUCUUUACAUUUUAGUUCUUUUUAAUCAAUACUAAUUAAUAACGCUGCUCUUUUUAGAAAAGUAAUGUCUUGCCUCUUUCUUUCUAUAAAUCAUUUAUAACAAAUAAUGAUGCUCUUUCAGAAAAGUAAUGUUUUGAUCAAAAUAAAUUAUGGAAUCAUAUAAUAAUAAAUAUAGCAUCAAAUCUUCACCCACCAUCUUAAUGUAAUAAAAAUAUAAAUUUUCUAACUAUAUAUCAUUCAAUAUUUACUUUUUUUUUUUUUAAAUCAAUGGGGAACUUCUAAAUUAACAUUAAAUUCCUUACCCUUCCGAUACAUGUUUCACAGGCUGUAUAAAUUAACAUUAAAUUCCUUACCCUCCUUCCAUGUGCAUCACACGAGACCCCCAUAAUUUGAUCCUCUAUUCCUGCAUAGGCUGACAAAACGUUGCGCCCAAAUUUCCAAUGGAACAUAGGUUAAGGAUAUAUAGUGGGUAGUUAAUAUGAUAUUCACCUUAAUUAAUAUUAUUUUUCAAUUAACUUAAGCUAGUUAACUAGUUCAAGUUCAGCUCAUAUGAAGAAUUAAUUAGAAGGAGAACAAGCUAAAUAUGACUCACACGGUGAAUCAAUGUAAAUCUCUGAAAUAAUUUUUGAACAUAAAUUCUAACAUUAUACACUUUAUAAAUCUACUGUUGAUGAUGAGAAAAAUACACUAGCUUAUUAUGUAUUUUACACGGUGUCGAAUAUAAGAUAUCAAUUUUUUGUGUCUAAAUAACACAUGAUAUAUGUAUUGACUUGUGUGUUUGAGACCCUGCUUUUGCAAGCAUUAACCCUUAGAACUAUAUUGGCUGCAAUCAACAGCUUUUAACUACCAUGUAAUCUGAUGUGUAUAGAGUGUCAAAUCAAAAUCAAAUAAUCUAAAUUUUAAAUUUUAUGUUCAAAUUUUAUAUUUAAAAACAAUUAAAAUCGGACUUCAAAUCUGAACCCUCUUAUUUUGACAGAAAAAUCUAAAUAUACUAAAUAUAGUGCAUCAACUACUCCAAAUCGAUUAACAGAACAGUGAGAUUGACAAUCGAGUAACACAUUAAGAUGUCGCUGUUAAGUUUGUUAAUAUUAAUAUACUAUAGUACAACAUAUAUGUAUAUUUUACAAACUACGAACAGCUGCUUCAUGAAAGGAACAUCAUAAAUCCAGCUUAGAAAAUAAACUACUUCAUUCCUGCGGGGUUUAUAUAUAUAUUAAAUUAAUUGAAUCUAGCGUAGGUUUAGGAAUGGAUGUGAAAUAUAUCACUAAUUUGACCAUAGAUUCUCAUAGGGUAUAGGCUAAAAUCUCAAAGAUCGAGUAACAAAACAAUACGCAUAUAUUAUACAGGGAAUUAAUUAUCUAUUUAAUGAUGUGAAAGGUACUAAUUCAUAAAUUGUCGAGUAUGCUUGAAAGUUACAUUAACUUUGAAAUUCAAUUCAAUAAAAUUAUUUUAAGAUACACUCAAUUCCUAAAUUAACUAGCUAGUAUGAUCCACCCACUUAAAUAAUUAUAAUCUAUGAUCGUGAAACGUGCGGUGUAUCCUUGAAAUAGGGUUUUACUACUACUUGUUAAUAUACAUACUUUUAUAAUAUAUAUGCAUUUUAAGGGAAUAUAGGUAUAAAAUAAAGUACUGUAUAUGAUAGGAACAAGAGAGAUGGAAAUUAAACGACUAUUGAUUGGAAGAGUUUAUUAUAAAUUAUAUGAAAUUGUGAAAGACAAGAAAACAGUGUAAGAUUAUAGUACAAGAUUUUGUCAAGGACAGCCCAACAAGAACUAAAAAAAAUAACGGAGUAUAGAGUUGUUUAUUUAAUUAAUGCCUCCUCUGCAUGCAUGUCCUUUGCAAAAACAGAGAGAUUUUUUGGUCAACUAAACUAAUCUGAAAACGAAUUAAUAUUAAGUACAAAUAAAAUAAAAUAAAAUUACGUGCAAAUAAGAGGGAAAGUGUAGAAGAAAGUUACUCCUAUAUGAAAGCAGGCCUGGACCUUUACUCUGUCUCUCAUUAACGUCAACUAACCAUGAAGUUAAUUACUCAAUGCACAUGAAUAGAUUUAUUUUAUUUUUAAUGAACAUGAAUAAUUUUACUAAAUUUUUUAAUUUGUAUUAUCUCGAUUCAAAUUUCACUCAAUCUCUCUCAAUUCUCUUUAUUUUUUUCAAUUUUUUGAUUAAAAAAAUCGUUAGAUUAAAGUUUUAUAUUAUAAAUAUUAUGUAUAUAAAACUUAACACAAAUCUAAAAUGUUAUAGAGAUUUAUAAAGACAAACAAUUUUCAAUACAAAUGCAUAAAAUAUUUAUUUUGAUAUAUUUCAAUAAUAUAUUAAAUAAUUUUAUAUUUGUAUAAAAAUUUAUUUACACGAUGUAUAUACUAUAAACUUUUAAUUUAAAUUAAAAAAAAUAAUAAAAAUAAAAUUAAAAUAAAUAAAAGAAUUGAACGAGAUGGUUAAACUCUAAAUUUUCUUAUUUUUGAAUUUAUUUUAUAUAUAUAAAAAUGUUAGUUAAAUUAAUUAUUUUUUCAUUCGUUGGCAUUCCAACUCUGAUUAUUUUAUUCCUUCAAGAUUUUAAAUCAAAUCAAUUGAACUAUUUAAUCUAUUAUAUUUUCAGACUUAAUCAAAGCACCGAUAGUCUACAAAUUAAUCACCUAUUUUAUGUUGAAGUUUAUGUAUUAAAAGAAAAGAACUGUGAUACAAAAAAAUAGAAAAGAACUAAAAAAGAAUGAGAACCGUAAAGAUCAAACUUUGAACUAUUUAACGGAUCAUGAUUUGCUAUAAUUUGGGAUCACGCAUUUUCGUGUUGUAUUUCAUCUGAGCCGUGUAUUUUAGAUCAAACGUUUCAUAACACACUGUUAAUUUAAUUGCACGAUAUAAUCUCAAUCGUUGAUCUAAAUCAUAUAAUUGAGCACUAUAACUACGUAACCCAGUCCCAACAUAGAAUCAAAUUCUGACUGAAAAAUACAAACUUUGAUGGGAUGCUAUGUUUUUUGUUGUUGAUGGACACAGACAUAGACAAUGUCAAGUAUCGUCAAGAAGGUUUAGUCCUAUGGUUUCGAAUACGACAUCGAUGAGUAUUAAGAAAUAAUAGUUUUUUUAAAAUAAAAAAAUGAAGGGAUAUUAAGAAAGUUAAGAGGUUCAAUAUCUUUUAGGAAGACCAAUAAGCACGAAAACUCACGAAUGGUUUAAUAGUGUAGGAUAAAUCUUUUUUGUUUUUAUUAUUUAUUUUUAAUUCUCCCAUGUAUUAUUUGCAUCCGCUUGAUUUUCAUCGUCCAUGUUUCGUGCGCUGGAGUGUCGUGCUAUACAGUAGUUCCACUCUUAUGCAAACUUGAAAAGCCAAUAAAACUAAUUUUAUUAAAACCAAAAAGCUAACCAGACAAUUAAAGAAUUAUCAAAUUAGAAAAACAAAAUCAUUAUUCAUAGAAGUUCCUGCAAUGACAAUAACUAAGUAAUUGAAUGAAAUGUAAAAAUUAAAUUUUAAUUAAAAGCAAAUCAAAUUUAAAAUAUUUAAUUUUUAAUAUAUUUACGUAAAAUGGAAUUGAAUAUUAAAUUAAAAUACAUUUUAAAAAUUAAAAGGUACAAACUAUAACUUUAACUUAUAAUUAAUUUUAAAGGUAAAAUAAAUUUUACUUUAAUAAUAAUAUAUUUAAAUAUAAUUUUUUUUCUUAAAAAAAAAAAGACCGUACAGAGUCGCAAAAGUGACGGAAAUAGAUGAGAUAGUAACGAAAAUUGCAAAACCCCUUGAGCAUGAGCACCCAGAUGCAGAACCCUGCAGGCUGCUGCAAUGCAACAUGUUUCACUAUCUAGUUAUCGUUCGUUGCUCUCGUGCCUGCACAAUUUUGCAGCAGUUACCUAACAAUAAUCCAACGUAAUUAAAAACGAAUUAUUGCACCCAAGAGGCCAGACUACGCAAGUCUCAAAAUUAAAUCAACCACAAUAAUUAAGUUAUAUUUCAAGUAUCAAAUACCGAUAUUGUUAAGUUUAACCGACUUCAAAUAAGAGAAUACCAAUAUUAUUAGGUUUAAUGCGAAUUUAAAUAAAAAAUCUAUGAAUUAAUUGUAGUGGAUUUUUUUAUCUUUUUUAAAUUAAAAAAAAAAAUCAAACUCAAUUUAAUAUGCUUAUGUUUACUCUCUCUCAAAAUAAUUGACAAUUUUAAUUUAAAAUGUAAUUUUUUUAUUAUAUAUUUUAAUUUAAUAUUACUUAUAUUAUUUUCAAUGUUACAUUUAUUCUGUUUUAAUUAUAUAUAUUUUUAAUAUAAGAUGAUUAAAUAUUUUAAUUAUUUUAUUACAUAAUUUGUUUUGAAUAUUAGCCAGCAUUAUGUGGAAUAACUAACCUGAACGAGACCAAAACUAGUUCAUCAAAUUAAGCUGUAAAUAAUAAGAAAUUAGUUUCUUUUCAAUAUUAAUGGGAACACAUAAAAUUCGCUUUAUAUCAUUAACUACAACAAAAAUCUCUCUAAUUUUCUCGUCACUAAAUUGACUUUAUAUUUUAAUUUAUGUCUCUAGAUUUUCCUUGCUAAUUUAAUCUUUUUGAAUAGUAAUUUCACAGUUACGUAUUGAUAUCAACAUUAAUUAAAAUUCUGUCUGACAAAAACAUAAUAUCAACACCAAUAGUUUUUUGAAAUAGCUGAUUCACUCUAACUCUAUUAAAUCACCAAACCACGUAAUAACUUUCGGCCAACCCAUGUACCGACAUUAACUAAUUAAUGUAGAUAUUAUCAUAGUAAUAUUAACAUUCACUAGCAGAUAGAAAAAAUUAAAAGAUGAAUUUCAUGUUUUAAUUUUUCUCUAGAUUUUCACGCUAAUUUAAUAUUUUUUCAGUAGUAAUUUCCCAUUUACUACAUUAACAUCCUGUAAAAAUAAGUAUGUCGACAAAAUCUCAAUAUCUACGUUAAUCUAUAAAUGUUUUGAGGGAAUUUACUAAUUUAUUAACAAUAGAGUAAAAAAUUUAUUAUAAAAAUAUUUGACAUUUUAUACGAAGGAACAUUAAUAUCUUAAGCUAUCUUUUAUAAAAAUUAGCGGUAAAGUUUAAUUUUUCUGUUAAAAUAAGUUUUUAUUUAUUUAUUUUGAACUGUGUGUUAUAAAAUCAUAUUAACAUAUAAAAUGUUAUGUUUUGAUUAAUAUAAAUCACAUUUAUUUCUCUCUUUUUACCACUUGUAUAUAUCAAAUUUGAAACAUUACAAAUCUCAUGAAACGGUCUCUAAUUUCUAUUUUCAUGAAAUACUUUAUCCGUUCACAUUAAGUUAUAUGUUAUAUUGAAACACAUUUAAUAUUUUAUAUCAACUUAAAUCAAAUCAUAAUUAGAUGAAUUUGUUCUUAAUAAUCAAAUCCAAUGAAUUUUUACUCUGCUGUUAGUUUUUAUCUUUUAAAUUUAUGAAUCCCCAUAUAAUUUUUCCACACAGACAGUAAACAUGCGUAGGGGACGGGUCCACGGUGAGGAUAACGUAGACUCGUGCCUCUACUUGCAUUUUGAUUUCCUCCAUAUUAUAGUAGUAUAUUUAUUCUCUAGCAAUAUAAUUUAUAAAUAUAAUAUGGUAGUAUAUAUAUGCAUGCAGUUAAAAACAUUUAUUUCAUUGUUUUUGUUUCAUCUCACUUUUCUUAAUUUUUGUAAUAAGAAAACUUACAAAUAUAGUAAAAAAAUGUUAUGUGAUGUUUUAAUGUUAUAAAUAUAUUAAAAAUAUAUUUAACCUUUAAAUAUAAAUAACUUUUUAUAUACACAGGUCAUUUAAUACUGAUAGCAUGUUUGAUAUCGAGGAAUUCAUUUGAUAUUUUUUUUGUUGAAUUUUGAUUAUCAUUAUUUAUUAUUACUUAAAAGGAUGGUGAGAAGUGGACAAAGGUAGUGUCAGAAAUGAAAGUAUUUACAUUUUGAAAGAGAAAAGGAAAGGUUAAAAAGGGUAAAUUGGUAGGGGCAUUAGAGUCAAUUGAAAAGGAAGUGUCAUUCAAAACUACAGGAGUCAAGAAAAGAAAAGAGAAUCAUGUUAUUCCCUCAUUUUUACCCCCUCCAAACUUUUUCCUGUCUCCAUCCAAACCUACUGUCCAACUUUUCUUUCCUAUUUCCUCCAAACCCUCUCUCUCUCUCUCUCUCUCUCUCUCUCUCUCUCUCUCUCUCUCUCUCUCUCUCUCUCUCUACAUCAAGAAUGAAAUAUAUUAAUAUAACCAUUAACAAGCUAUGAUAUCAUGAACCAAGUUUGAGUUUGUUUCACCCUUUUAAGGAAAAAAUAUCAGAAAUCAAAGCUUCUAAAAAAUACACUGCUAUAUCUUUGAGAAGAGCUUUCUAACUAUAUAUACUUCAAUUAACACUUCACAAUACUCAUCCAAUCAAUCUCAUCACACAUUGAAAAGAAAAAAAAAAGAAUUCCUUCUUUCUGCUUCAUCAUUUUCAGGUAUAUAUCUCCUAUUUCUAUCUCCUAAAAUAAACACAACAAAUUCUGUAACCUACCAAUUAACAAUCAGAAUUUGUUUCCUUUCUUUCUUCAAAAGUUGUUCUUGAUUUCAUUUUAAAGAAACUUGUAAAAGGAUUAUAAAAAAUCAAACAAGAAAUCAUUGAAAUUAUAAGUAUAGUAACUCUCAUCUCACUCUGAUCACAGGAACCCUAGAAAAACAAGGUACUCCUGUCAAAGCAACUUUGGAUCUACAAAGCAAAGAGUUGAAGGAAAUUAAUUAAAGUUGAAGUAUAUAUAUAUAUAUGGAUUCAAUUCAAGAAUUUAUAAACACAUGUAACAUUGAAAACAGCUGCAACUUCAUGAAUAACAACAACAGUAUAAGCAGUACAACAAGCUUAACAACAACAGCAAGUGGAAGUUCUUCAUCAUCAGCUGUUUCAACCAUCACCACCAACACACCAAACAGUAGCAGCCGCUAUGAGAAUCAGAAACGCCGUGAUUGGAACACUUUCGGUCAGUAUCUUAAGAAUCAUCGACCUCCUCUUUCGCUCUCGCGGUGCAGCGGUGCACAUGUUCUUGAAUUUCUCAGGUAAAUAUGUAAAUAUAAUCAACAUGCACCCUCUCUUUCUUUUUAUUUCUAUCUCUAACACUACAUAUCAAGGUUUUAAAUAGCACUUCCAAUUGCAUCGCAAUUCUUAAUAUUAGUUUGUGACAUAUAAAACACAAUUCUUUAUGUUUUGAAAUGGAUCUUCUAUAGCAAAUGGAAGAGAGAGUAAGAGAGAAGAAGAAUUGAUGAGAGAUGGAAAGUGGAGAAGAUCCAAAUCGCUAUUGAAAUUGUAGUCACAUAUUUUUGAAAGUGUUGAUUAUGUAUAAAUAUAUCUCAGAAUAAUAGUUGAAUGUGUGUAGGUACCUGGAUCAAUUUGGGAAGACAAAAGUUCACACACCAAUAUGUCCGUUUUAUGGACAUCCAAACCCUCCAGGGCCAUGUCCAUGUCCUCUAAGACAAGCAUGGGGAAGCCUUGAUGCACUAAUAGGUCGUCUUCGUGCAGCCUUUGAAGAAAAUGGAGGAAAACCAGAAGCUAAUCCUUUCGGUGCUCGAGCAGUGAGGCUCUACCUUCGUGAGGUUCGUGAUCUUCAAUCCAAAGCAAGAGGAAUCAGUUACGAAAAGAAGAAAAGAAAGCGUCCACCAUUGCCAACACCACCUCCUACUGCUGCAAACUCAUUAGAUAUCAUCAAUUGACACUCUUCUCUUAAUCAAUGCUCUUUUUAUUAUCAUAUUUAGGGUUUUUAUUUUUAUUUUUAUAAUAAUAUUAUGUGAAAGCUGCUGUGAAAUCUGAUGAUAGAUAUAAGACUGUUUGUUUGUCUUUGGAUUCUGUUUGGUUGCAGAUGAAAAAGUGUUCAAAUUCUGAUAAAUCAUUUAUCUGCUUUUAAAGAUUUAGCAGAGACUGUUAUGUUGCUUGUACUCAUAGUAGACUCGCAGUGGACUGGAAAAGUUGAAGCUAGUCAUCAUAGUGAUUCUCAACAAGGAACCACUUACUUACAAUCACAGUCACAACCAUGGCAUUAUUAUUAUUUAUUAUAUAUGUUUAUAUGUUUUUGUACAAUUAUUCAAUAUGUCAAACUUAGACUUGCAGCACAUUAUAUGUCUUUAAUCACAUAUGCAUACUUUCUGUUGGAACAUAUAUAUAUUAUAUGUUAUAAUAAAAUUUCUAUUUUUGAAGGCUUGAAUUUUACUACAAUUGUUACUAAUUUGAUGUGUCACAAAUAGAAUUUAAGUUUCUAACUUUCAAGAUACAUUUGUGGCAAGUUUUCACUUCCAUUUAGAGAUGCAUAUAAUACAUAGUAAUGUGGAUAACACUAUUUGAGUCUAAUGUAUAUAUUGAUGUGAUAAUUAUUUGUUCAUAUCUAUCUAUACAAAAAAAGAUCUUUUUCUUAUCAUAGCUUACUUUUAUAAAUUCCUUUCAUCUGAUUAGAUACUUGAAUUGGAGUAUUGUUUUAGUAUGAAAGAGAAUACUAUAUAGAAAGUUUAAUGAUUCAUAAUAAUAAUGGUUAAUCGUUAAACAAAUAAAUUACUUUCUUUUGAUAAUAUUCUAUUUCAUUCUUGUGUGCAAUGCAGUAGUGCUAUCAUUUCAACUUAUACCAAACAAAAGAAAAUUAAUUAAUGGCAGACAAUGUAAUUAAUUUGUAUAUCACUGAACCUUCAAUUAUUUGUUUCAUAUACUUUAUGCUAGCUAAAAUAUGGUUUUCAUCUCAAUAAAAAUAAAAAUAAAAAUUAAUUUUCUUUAAUAUUCUUAGAAUGGUUUAUGUUAAUCUAUUCUAUUCAUCUCCAUUUAUUUGGUUUGAAAUACUGGUCAUGCAGGAUUAUUGUUAUUUUUUUAAAAUAGAAAAAAAAUAUGUUAAAACUGAAAUAUAAGAAUAUAUUCCAACUCAAAUAAACCUUAAAAAAAGGAACCAAGAUCAAACAUAAUACAGGUCAUUCUCAUUCAAAUAUUUCUAAAUCCAAUUCGUUGAAUAAUGUCAUUAAGACAAUCGUUUUAUACCUCAAAAUAAAGUAAAUUUUUUACUUAAUUAAUAGUCGAUCCUCCCGUGAUCAUGCCAUCAUCAUAAGUUCAUAACCCUACAUAUUCUACUAUUUUAAAACUAAAGUUUAAAAAAACUAUCUAAAAUAAAUAAUUUCCAACAAAGAUUAAAUAGAUUGACUUUAUUAUUGAUUGAAAAGAAAUAUCAAAAGAAAUCAAUUUCAAUAAUUUAAGAAAGAAUUUUUCAAUCUAAAACCUAUAUUAAAAAUAAAUUUUCAUAUGAAGGGUAAUUGGCAUAUUUAAAGAUAUUAUAAAUAGAGUUUAAACAUAUGUCAUAUAAAAUUAGAUUAUCUAAAAUAUAAUUUUAAAAUAUAUCAAAAUGUAAUUUAAUUUAUUAGUCUAUUAACUAGUUAAUUUAUCUAAAGAUAAGUUAUUUGAAUAAAUUAUUAUAAAAUAGACUUUUAAGUUAACAUACAACUUCUCAAGAGUACUUAGAUGAGAUGACACUUGUCUCUUCUAACUUAAUCAAAGUCGUAAGUUCGAACCUAGACUUGAGCAUGGAACAACAUUAAAAAAUUUAGUGAGAAUUUAUCGUCCAUUUAAAUUCUACCAAACUCUCAAGAUAAAUUUAUUAAGUUGUACAUGAAGGAUACUCUGGCUUACACUAAAAUAAUGUAUAACUUUAAAAAAUAUCAAACUCGAGUCUUAAAAUAAGUCUAUAACAAAUAAUAAGUCAUAUUUUAGCUUUAACUUUUUAUAUAAGUUUCUUGUAAAGUUUCUUUCAAGUAACAUUAUUUUUAUUUUUUUAUAAACAAAUAUUAGUAAUAAGUUAAUUUAACAUUUUUUACAAUUUGAAUUUAUCCGACAAGUUAGCUGUCCUAAAAUAUUGUGUUAUCUAUCCUUUUUGUAACGUGAUCUAAUUUUUUCUUUUAUGGCUCAAAAAGAAUAAUUUUCCUUAAUCCCUCUGGGUGGAUGAAGAGACGCCUAUUAAGCUUUUUAUUUUUUGUCACAAGCAAAACCCAAUAGGACAUAUGAUAUAUGCUGUAGAUCAAGAUUAGCUAAGCUUACGACACCUAAAAGUUAUUCUAGUGGGACAUACAAGUCUACCACUUGUGAAGACAUAAAGGAUCUAUUCUUUCAUGUAAUUAUUCAUAUAUAUGGUGUUUGUUUGUUUUAAGAUGUAAUCAUAAUUUCAACAGCAACAAAAAAAUAUAAGGAAUAUUAUGUCCAUGAUUGUCGUUUUCAAGUGAUGUGUGUGCUCUUGUGUCUACAAUUAAUGUGCUUGGUAUAAUAGUCUAUAUAUUAAUGUGAGUGUAGGUUAAUAAAUAAAUUGUUUUACUUAAGAAUAAUGAUAUGUGCUUGCCAUUGAUCGUCUAACAAUCCAUGAUUUAGCUCUAUGAUUGAAAAAUACCUCAGAACCAAUGGAAUUAAUAUCGUUAAUUAAUAACAAAUGAGUAAAAUGUUGAAUGUAUAGAAAAAAUAACUCAUAGACACAUUGUCAAUUAUGUUUAGAUGUAAUGUCAAAAUUUCUUUAGGGAACAUUAAUUGUUUCACUGUGUAAUAAGUCGAUUUAUUUUAAUAUUUUUAGUUAAAAUGUAUAUAUAUUAAAAUGUUCCAUGGAAAGCCAGCUGAAGAAGUGUGUUUUGGAGAGGAUCUAAUUUGCACGACCUAAAUUGGUCUUAGUCACUAAUCUCUCAACUCAAAAAUCUCACUUAGCAUCCAUAUGUAAACUUAGCCUCCCCUUUGGCAGAAACAAUACUCCAAAUCAACAAUGACUGGUCGAUACCAAUAAACAUAUAACUCUCAUAAAAAAACCACAACACAUUACCAAGGUAAAAGUUCCAUAAAAAAAAUUUGCAUCCAAAGGAAGAAUAACCUUAAUUAUAGUAAUAUUGGAUAUUGAAUAUUGUGCAAAAUAUUUGUCCUCAAUGAAUCACACGUACACAUGCACAAGGCAGUGAUAACUAGCGAAUAGUGCUAACAAAUGGGGCAAUAGAGGCCCAAUAGGGUAGUAAGUAAAGUUUUUUUUUAUUAAAUGGAAUAUAAGAAGUAUUUUAACCUUUACAAUUAAAAAAAAAAGCACAAUCUUAAUCCAACAUAAUAACAAGUAGUAACUAUUCACAUAUCUGACAACAACAAAAAGCCUAAUACAAAACAAACACUACAACCAUCUUAAACAAGGGAUGCCCCCACCUUCCCACAACAUAGAUUCCCUACAAACUGCCUAUAAGGUAGUAAGUAAAGUGGCCCAAUGUUUGUUUAGCUUUUCCAUAUAUACUCAUUAUGGUAGUUAUUUUAAACCAAUACUCAAAAUAAUCUACGUCGAUUCAUAUUUACACAUCACUUAUUUAUAUUUUUUUACUGUUAAUUUCUAUAAAAACUUAAUUAUUUCAAUGCAAUAUUUCUACAAAAAUUACAAUAUUGGUGUCUAUUUACCACUUUUUGUUUCAUCCUUCAAUAGAGGUGGCUAAUAAGAUGAAUCCCUAUUAACCAAAGUAAAUUUCAUUGGUGAUAUUGGUCUAACAUAAUUGGCUGAGCUCCCACGUUAUGAAGAAUACAUUUUACUGUUUUACGGAUCCAAGCGCAGAAUUAUCAGCUACUAGAAACGGACCACAAUAUGUUGCAGUUCGGGACUAUGUCAUUUUACUAUGUAUUUCAUCUCAACUCUUCACUUUAGAUCAUAUAAUUACAAUAAAAAUAUUAACUACUACUUAAAUAUAUUAUUAUUUAAUUUAAUUAUUCAGAUUGAAAUAAUUUUUAUAUCUGUAAACAUGAUGCGGUGGAUAUAUAUAGGAUUCUAUAUUUAACAAGAGAAAAGUUUAAGGAAAUAGAUUAAAUAUUCAUUUCGAAAUUCUUUUUAUUGUCUGGUUUCUUGUAACUAAUAUGAGAAUAUGGAAAUAAAUGGAUUUUUUUUCUCUACUUUUAAUUUUACCCCUAUUUUUCUUUUCUCAUUUUUUAAAUCUCAUCAUAAUUACAAAAUUGUUUUCCUUUCCCUUACCUUUCUUUCCUCUCACUUUUCUUGUUUAAUAAAUCAAACAUAGAAAUAAUGAUUUUAAUCUAUGUUGUUGGGAAUGGGUUGAUUAACUACCUUGGAUAUAGGAUUCUAAUUUUUAUGCUUUUAUGUGUGAAGUAACAACGUUCCCAUAAUGCGAUAGUAAACAAACUUGAAUCUUCUACACAUUCUUUACUCUCUAUCUUUUAUUUUGUUUCUCUCUCUUCCAUUUGAUGGAGAGGAUCAACUUCACAAGGUAUACAGUGACCAUUCCAAGUGAUGGAUGUCAACGUAGAUUUUGAUGAGCUCAAAAGGAUUGGCCACGGUUUGGAUCGAUGGGGUGGAUAUGUAGGUGUAGAAGAUGGAUACGUCCAUCCAUCCAUGACUUAUGAAACCUUUAAUGUUUUGCUUGGAAAAUUGAGGAUAUAACUAAUAAGUUAGUUGAUAGGUGAACUUUAAAGUUAAUUCAUUUAGGUUGAAUUGUUUGAUAAGAGUAGUAGUUAAUAUAUAGUUAUAAAAUAUGUAAAAUGACAAAAACUAUUUGUAAUUAAUUUUUUUUUAAUUAAGACAAUCAGAGUAAAAAUUGAAGAAAAAAUAAAACGUUAUAUGUUCAAUUAUUACUUCAAUUAAUUUUAUCAAAAAACGUUACAAAUCCAUAAAAAAAAUAUUAUCAAAUAAAACUAUUAACUUAAACGCUAUAAACUAUAUCCGAUGUAAAUAUUUUUUUUGUUUUAAAUAGACCGUGUGACUUUAUUUGAUAAAUUGUGGAUAAGCUAGCAACUAACCUAAUAAAUUUGAAAUUACUAAUAAAAUGAAGUGAUAGAUAUAAAAUAAUAUUUUUUAAAUUAUUUAUUCCGUCUUACUGUGAGUGACUCGAUUAUAAUUAAAAAUUAUCUCAAAAUGCACAUAUUCUUCCAAAUUUUAAUGUAUUUUUCUUUUUUACUCUGAAAUUAAUACUCAUUAUGUCCUAAACACACCCUUGCUAACAAUUUGGCAUCUGUAAACUAUUAAGAGCUAACAAUUUGGCCUACAUGACAAAAGUAAUUUUUCUUACGAAAUUGCACACGCACGUGUAAAUAUUUUAAACAAGGAAAUAUAGAGUUUCUUUUUCGUGUUUGCUAGAAAUAACAGCUAGGACAGACAAAAAAAAAAGAAAGAAACACAUAUAGGAAAAGUUGAAAUGAGCCAAUAACAGUUUGUUGGUCAACAACAUCAAUUGCGUAUUUGCAUGUUUGGAUUCCACCGAAGAAUCGUGCAUGUUAACGCAGACCCCAUCCGGAAUCUCCGUUGGCACUACAAGACUAAAAUAACACUGUGAGUCAGUAACUUGGUACUACGUAACCGAUGUGACAUGUCCUUCAUUUUUCUUCACAAAAUAAUCAUAUUUUUUAUUUAAACUAAAAUAGAUAAAUUAAUUGAAAAUAAUAUAAAUUUGUUAUAUCCAUGAAUAACAUUAAAUUGAAAAUUGUUUACAAAUUUAAAAUAAAAUAAAAUUAUCGAAAUACUUACAUUAUCACUCUGCAAUGUUUACAACUUUAAAGUGAUUGGUUGAAUUUUUUAGAUAUAUAUUAAAUUAAUUUUUCUAUUUUAAUAAAAUAAAUAUUAUAAUAAAAUGAAAAAAUAAAUAAAUUUGCACCGAAAAAACAAACAAAACAUCAUAACAUAAAUACAUAAAGAAAAUAUAAAUUUACAAAAAAUCACUUAUUUUGAUUAAAAAGUACAUAAAACAAUAUAGAAUAAUAAAAACAAUAUAAAAUUAUGAUACCAGACUAAAAAUAAUUUAUAUUUUUUUAAGAUAAAGAAGAAAUAGUUAAAUGAACAAAAAGUUUAGAUGGCUAUAUUAAAAACAUCAUGUCUUUAAUAUAGUUUGUAUUUUUCUUAUGAGAGAGAAAUAUCAACAAAUAAAUUUUUGUUUACUUCAAAACUAUAUUAAUUAUUUUUUUUACAUAAACAAUAUUCAUUAUUGAUAGAAUAGAGAAGAACACACUUUUUCAAAAUAAAAUAAAAUAGAGAAUAUCACAAAUUCAUAGUUACUAAAAGACUUAAUUGCAGUUUUAGUCAUCGUAUUUUAACUGAAUCACAAAAAUAAUCUUCUAUUUUAUUUCUCCUCAGUUUUGGUCCCCUAAAUAAAAAUUUGGUCUAAAACUUGAUAAAGUGUCAUUUUUUAAAAUCAAACCACACCAUUUAUGAUCAUAGAUUUCAAGUACAAUUAUUGCACCACGAGAUAUUGAAGCAUAGUGUGACUUAAAUAAGCGCAAAAAAAUGACAUUUCAUCAAGUUUUGGAUCAAAAUUCUAUUUGAAAUACCAAAAUUAAAGAAAAAUAAAAUGGAGAGACUGUUUUUGUGAUUCAGCUAAAAUAGAGGAAUUAAAACUGCAAUUAAACCUUAUUAAAAUUAAAAUUAAAAAUUCCAGCAAACACUUAAGUUGCAUUUAAGUGCUUUCUUUAAAGGCAUUUGCGUGUUGAUAAUUCCAUUAUUUUAUAUAUGUGAUUACUGAUUAAUUAUUAUAUAUUCUAAUAUAUUUUAAGGACACUUGUUAAAAAUAUAAAUUUAGAAUUAUAUGAAAAAUAAUUUAUAUAUAGAUAUAAAAUAUUAGAAGUUGUAUCCGUAAGGUUAAGAUCAAUUGUUAAAUGUUGAAAUUGUUAGAUCGAAUAUCAUGUUUUUGAUUCGAACUUUGGAAACUCAUAGUUACAUAUGAUUUUUUAUCUUUGCAUUUAAAGAAAAUAUUAUAAAUAUUCUCAAUUCAUUAAUUAAAAAAUUCAUAUAAAAAAAUAUGUAGUAAAAUAUACUCCAGUAUCAAGACUGAUAAUUAAAGUAACAAUGUUGAUUUAUAAGGAAGUGGGUUUGAAUUGUAAAUGUUUCUAUUUAAAAAUUUCUGAAAAACUUAAGGAUUUAACUCAAGAAUGAUCUUGGUUAAGAAAACACAAAACAAAUAACGUUAUUGGCUUUCACCAAAAAAACGGAUAACGUUCUUGAUUAGUUUGAAAAACAGAAAUUCAGUUUAUGUUUUAAUUCAAGUAAUUAAUCAGGUUUAAUAAAUAAGGAGAUAACAAAAAGAAUACUACACAAGGAUGUAUCGUGAUUCAUUCAACUUGUGCUACGUCCAAAAACUCACAUAAGUGUUUAAAACAAAUAACCUUCUGGAUUUUACAACACCUAAUUCAUAUCAGACUUGAUCUAUUACAAGAUAUAUUUCUUUUCACCCAGAAAGAUAUAUAUUUCUUUUCACCCAGAAUAGAUAUAUAUUUUAUUUAUUGCAUUUUUUUGAAAAAUAACUUGAACCAUCUUAAUUUAUGCGUGUUUGAGAAAUGACGAUCAUGGAAUCAGGUUAAUGACUAUUGUAUUUUUUAAUACGUGGAAAUAAACUUAAAUAAUAUUUAAUUAAAAAUAGAGGAAUUAAUAUUUAAUUUAAUAUAAAAAAUUUAACUUUAUAUUUUCAUUUUAAUUUAUUAAGUGAUACGUUUAGCAAUUUGUGGUGUAAAAGCUUCAAGUUAUUUUGUGGUGAGACCCACCCAAAAAUGUAUUGUCACUAAUCACUAUACCAGACAACGGGGGCAGGUCUGCACGUGUAGCUUACACUCUUUUGUACUUUGGUUUUGGGAUUUGAGUUGUCAAAAAUGAGUAAUUAAUUUUAAAAUUUAAAAUAAAAAAUAUCAUCAAUAAUUGAAUGAAUUAUAUUAUAUUAUAUAUAUAUAUAUAUAUAUAUAUAAAUUAAUUAUGAAUAAUUAUAAUAUUAAUAAAUUUUGGAGAAUUGAACGUGGACAUUUUCUUUUCGUAUAAGACCAGAGAUGUCGAUACCAAUUGACAUGGACAACCUCAAAAAACAAAUAUUUUUUAAAUAAAUAAUUAUAAUUUUAUAGUUUCUUAUAAAAAAAUAUUUAUAUAUCUAUUAAUAUAUCUAUUUUCUUUUAAAAAAUUUAUCACUUAAUUAAUAUAUCUAUUUCUAUUAUUUUUUAUAUUUAAUCUCUACUGUACUUAUAAAUAAAAUAUUUAUAAUAAUAAAAAUUAUUAAGAUAUGAUUUAAAAAUAAAUUUAAAGAUAUAUUUCUUGUAAAUAGUUUAGUUUUUUUAUAUUAAAAAAAUUAUAUUAAUUAUCAUAAAUUUAAUUAUUUAAAGUGUCAUUUAGUAUUAUUUUAUCAAUAUAUAAUUUGCUAAAAAAAAUUGGUCAUCUCUUAGCGUAGAUUCGCCGUUGUAUAAGACAUUCUCUUUCUUUAAACAACUAACAAAACAAAAUAUAAUUUGCUUUCAAAAAAUUUAUGGCAACUAAAAGAUGCAUUCCCAUUGAUUAUUUUCUUUUAGGACAGUUGAAAUUAAUUGAUUUCCUUAGUUUUUAUUUAAUCGAGUUGAUCCUUUUUCGCAUAAUAUAUCAUGUUUGAUCGAGACAAAUCAAUCUGUUCAAGUGAUCUGUCAAAUAAUUAUGCUAUGUGUAUCACCGAUUAGCCCAGAUGUUGGAUUUCCUUUUUUCUUAUUGGUUUAAGGAGGAUUCACUGCAUGUCCAUAAAAUAAUUAUCUAUUAAAUAUUUAUUUUCCUAUCAAAUUUAAAGACCAAUAUAAAAUAAAAGGAGGGAUACUAAUAAAAAUAGCGAUACAGUUUAGUUUAUUUGUAAAAAUACGAUAUUUUAUUUUAGUUUAAUUUAAUUUUCAAUAAUAAAAUUAGUGAUUGUGUUUUUGUUAAUUAAUUUUAUCUUAAAAAAAAUAUUAUAUUAUAAUUAACUCAAACAAUUGUAAAAUUUUAAGUUUGAAUAGAACAAAAUAUUUUAUAUUAUAAUAUUAAUUUUUAUCAUUUGAACUACGAAUUAACAACUUUAGUUUAUUUUAUUUGAGUUUAAAUUUUUAUCUUUUUUUUACUAAAAAUAAAAUAUUCUAUUUUUAAAAUAAGAUAUUGUUUUAACAUAAGCAAGUUUAUAAAUGAGAAUUAUAGCGGAGAGACCCAACACCCACCUCAAUGACAUUAAUUACAGAAUUGCAAUAACCACAUAUUUAUGCUCAAUGAAUAAGAAAAUUAUGGAUGCAUUAUAAUCAGUUUCGUUGACCAAAUUAUUGAGCGUAAAAAGCAAAAUUGUUUACUUGUAUUAAUAUCUUUUUUUUAUAUUGAAUUGAUAUUUUUUUUUAUUAGAGUAGAAAUAUGUAAUUUUUUAAUUAAUUAUAGAUUAAAUCAAUUUUUAUAUAAUUACGAUGUUUUAGGUUUGAAUUUAAAAUGUGAUAUUCAAUCUAAUAAUUUUAAUAUUUGUUAAUUAAGUUAGAUCUUAUAAAUAAGGUUGACUUCUAACGAUAAAUCAAUUUUAAAAAUAAAAUUAAUGUAAUUAAAUGGAGAUUAUAAACUAUCACUCAAAACUUUAGCUAAUGAAAAAAAAGGUAAGUCUCUAACCUAAACGUCUCACACACAAAAUAUUCUGGACGAGCAAUAACUUAAUGAAACUCAAUAUUGUCACUUUCACUGUUCUUCUGUUGCGCGGGCCUUCGAAUCGGUUUUGGGCCUCAUUGAAAUCAAAGACUAGCUCUUCCAAAAAAGACUUUCAGCACAUAGUUUGUCUUCAGUUCGUCUGGAUGGUAGCUUACUCUAUCAUCCUCUAUGUUUUUAAAAGUUUCCACGAUACAUUAUGAAUUUACCAUUCCAAAAAAUAUCAAGAAGUGAGAGGAGAAACUAUUGUCUUCGUCAGGAUUGGCCUCAUUUAGGUUACACCCCAGCGGUUUGUCCUAUACUCCCAACAAUUCAAUAAAAUUAGUAGUCAUUCAACUAUUCUAAUAAAAAAACAAUUUUAUUUAUAAAUAUUUUAGAAAAAUUCAGAACACAAGUUAGGAAAAAUUUAAGAUAAAGAGAUGGUGUCUCAAUUUAAAAUACAUAAUAUUUUCAACUUUAUCGAAUAUAUAUUGAAUCUCACGAGAGCACCACCAGCUUGUGCGAUCUCCCCCAUUGUAUUUGAGGGAAGAUUUUCAUCUACAUGGCGUGAACUAACGUUUUUUAGUUUGAUUCAAUCACGACCUGCAACCACCCAUUAUCCGACGUGGACUUUAAUUUAAUAAUAUCAUAAAAUCUAUUUAAAAUUUAAAUAGUUGGAUUACCUUGGAAGCCGUAACCGCACUUCUAAAUGUAAUCCAAAAGUAUUGCAGCGAGGAAGCCUUCCAUAGUCACAAGAUUAUGUUACAAGUUUUAGGUUCACUAAAAAAAGUAAACUGUAGAAAUAACUUUUUUUUUUUAAAAAAAAAUUUUAAAUAAUUAAAAAAAAUUAUCAUAAAAAUCAUAAAAGUUAUGUUGAAUCGAUUUGAAUUAAUAAAUGUUUUUUUAGUCAAAAAAAUAAAAUUAAUAUUUUGUGAAUGUGUUUUGAGUAUGUUUGAAUGAGGUAAUUGAAAAUUAUAGAGAAAUUAUAAUUAUAGGUAAUUUAAAUGCUUCAAUUGAACUCAUUUUAAUUCUAAAUUUUGUUGUUUUGAUAAAAAAAAAUUAUUCUUUUAAAAUUAAACUCUUUUUAUAAAUUUAAAAAGUUUAGAGACAAAUAUGAAAAAUAAAUUUAAGCCAAAAUUGACAUUUAAAAAAAUUAAGGCACUAUUUUGGAAAUUUUAAGGAAUCAAUUUACAAAUUUGAAAAUUUUUAGAGAGCAAUUCGUAAAAAUAAAAAAUAGGUACUAAUAUGAAAAUUUUGAAAUAUAUAAGAUUAAAAUUAUAAAUUCAAAAAUAUUAUAGUGACUAUUUCAUGAUUUAUAUAUGAUAGUGACAUUUGAAAUUUAUCUAAAUUUAUCUUUGAAAAAAUAGUUCAUGACAUCUUUCAUUUUGAAAGUUCUCUGUAUAAGAUAAUUUGCAUUAGAGAAUUUGAAUUCUUUAAAAAAAAUUACAUUCCCUAAAAGUUUCUUCAUCCAAACACAAUCUAAGAGAUUUAUAUUUGUUUUUGAGCAAAAAUACACAUGUAGUCAUCAAAGUUUUAUUUUAUUCUAAUUUAAUCAUUUAAAUUAUAUUAUAUUUGUAUCGUUAAUUUUUUAUCUCAAUUUAAACAAUAAUUGAUUUAAUUAAAAGUUUUUUUAUCAUUUAACACUCUAAUAAAUGCUGCCACAAUAUGUCAUUCAUUAUAAUGUUUCAGAAAAUAUUUAUCAAAUCUUAUAAAUAAUAUAUAUUUCUUGAUUUUUUCUACAAUAAUAUAAACACACUAUAAUAUAAAAAAACAAGAUAAUAAAUGUCUAUUUAAAUGAUUAAUAUAUUUAGUUACUUUCAUAUGUAAAAUAGUUUAAAUAAUUUGUUACGAUAUUUUAAUUAUAUAUUAAUAUUUUAUGAUAAUAAUUCAAAAAAUAUUUCAAAUUUAAGAUAUUAUAUAUAUAAUUUUAUAUAUUUAAAAAAUCAAUAAUAUAAAUAAAUAUAACUUAAAAAAUUGAAUCAGGACAAAAUAAA